UGGGGAGGUGGCUCAGUGGUAGAGUGCUUACCUAGCAUGCAUGAGGACCUGGGUUUGAUCCCCAGCACCUAA
rnacentral:tRNA from 1 species